UUGAUAGAAAUGGUCUCUUGAUUAUAGAAUUUUUGUAUAAGGAUGGAAAAUAUUCUUUUCUCCUGUCCACAUGUUGGUCAUCGUGCCCAGUUUCACAUAUGACCGUCCUUAGAACAGUGCGGUUUGCCGGUUAUUUUAUCCCCACACCACCUGUAGGUAAUCUAUCCUUUCAGUUUCUUCCUUAUCUAUAGCGGUAACUGGGAGAAGUAGAGGCCUCCACAACUUUCAGGUUUUCUUCAGACGUGUCUUCCCGAUCCUUCCACCACCGAUCAGUUUUUUUCUGCGUUCUGUUCUAAACUGAGUCGGAUCAAACCGACAAAACCCUCAACCCAUUUACCAUCGGCGUCACCAUCUUCUCUAUAUUCUACAACCGUGUGAUUAGGGCUUCCUCCAUUGAUUGGUGGAGCCCAGAAGACAUCGUUACGGCUUGUGAAAGCCAUCGACUCUUCCUCUCUUUCUUCUUUCUAUCAAUCCUUGUCUGUGAUUUCAAUUCCACCGUAUAUGUCUCUCAAUCCUUCUGUCUUCCACUCCUCAUCUACCAUCUCUUUUACCUAGGUUUCGUUUAUUAGCGUCGAGCGAGCAUCCCCGAAUUGGAGCUACAAACAUGUUACUUUGCCAUAAUCUUUACAAUUCGCAACUUUUUCAUGUAUCCCAUACUCCAAAUUAACAAGGGUUUUGAUUUUUGGUCGCAAUUUUGGGACCUAAAUUUUUGUUACUAGUAUCCUCCACCCCUCCACUGCUGCCUAUCUUACGAUUCCUUCUUACCACCAUUGGACCGGUCUAUGCAACCAUCAGACCAUCAGACGACUUAACAGCAAAUGUGGGAAUAUGCUAUACGACUGUGAUAGUGUUCAUCACAAUCGGCUUAAGGUGUGGGAGUGGAGGAAGCAAUGGUUUUGCCAGAAUUGCAGGUAAGCAAAUCAUCUUCUUUUUGAUGCAAAUAUCUACGGUUUCUUCAUUCAAUUUCACUUGCACAUGUUUGAACUUCUGUUUUGUUUUUGCUUCCAUCACGGUCCGAAGCACACACAAUCAACCUCUAUCCUAAAAUUGGCUUCAAGAGCCCAAGCUCAGAUUCAACGAACUUGGAAUCUUCACCGAAAUCACCAGGAAAAACAGUUGGAUUCUCAAUAGGUAAUCGCUUUACCUAUUCUAACAAACGGGAUCCAUCUGGGAAGAGCAAAGAUGGAUGUGGGAGGAACAACGGUCGACUGGGGAGGAAAAAUAGUGGGAGAGUGAGAGGUCGAAUGUUACUUAUUUUUUUCGGUUUCCUUGGGUUUCAAAUUGCAUAUAUGCUAAUAUUAUGACAAAAAGAUUUAGUAAUGUUCGUUCAUUUGUUCAUAUAUUUAUUUUGUUACAAUAUCUCAAAUAUAAAAGAAACUGUUACAUGUAUUCCCCUAACUUGAUUUAUUAGAUGUUGCAACCCCACAGAAAAAGAAUAUCUCCCAUCUGGAGAAACUCUAGGUGCAUUUCGAACUUGGGUGGUGACAUUGCAAUAAUUGAGGCACUUUCAUAUGUUCCAGCACCUGCCAAUGCAUUGAGGUUGUACUUACAGUCUGUAGAGGCUGCGAACAGUUGUGAUUUGGAACGAGUUGCAUAUGAGUUUUUCACCCAAGCAUUUGUUUUAUAUGAGGAAGAAAUUGCACUAAUAGAUGACCAUCAUUUGAAACAUGGAGGGAGAUGGAGUUGGGAUUGUUUCUUAAGGUACCCACCUUGCAGAAAUUAUAAGAUAUUUGUAAGGUUUCUUCACAAGGUUAAUAUUUUUGAUACAUUGCUUAAUCAUAAAAACUGUCGACUUCCAUCAGCUUUACAAUAUCUAUCUCAAAAUUGAUCAAUCAGAGAUAGACAUAGUUGACAUUCUUCAAAAGUCAUCGUCUUCUUUAGAUGGAAAUUAUGUUUUAUUCUUACUACAUGCAAUAAACCGAAAGCUUUACUUUGUAGAUCUUCAAGAUAGGACAUUAUCAAAGAUUUUUUAAUGAGGGCGGUUAUGAACCGAUGUUGAACUUCUCAUAAAAAGCCUAACCUUCAUGAUCAAUUGCAUUGUAGGUUAUAUGUGAUGACAAGAGUUGGAAAUGAAAUGGAUAUGGAUUUGUGCAUUUUUUUGUUUUUUUUUUCAUUAAUUUAUUUUAGUUUAAAAUAUGUGAAUCAUGAAGUUGUUGAAUGGAUUUUAGGGUAUUUAAAGUUUACAUAUAGCUGUUGAAAGUAGAGUUUACUUUAAUUUUCAGGAACUAUAACUAUUUGGGUUUACUGCUGUAUUUACAACUGAUACAAAGUGUUAUUCAUUUCGUUGGA